UCUGCGCUGGAUGAGCCUCUUUCGAAUGUGU
rnacentral:piRNA from 1 species